AGUGAACGCUGGCGGUAGGCCUAACACAUGCAAGUCGAACGGCAGCACAGGAGAGCUUGCUCUCUGGGUGGCGAGUGGCGGACGGGUGAGGAAUACAUCGGAAUCUACCUUUUCGUGGGGGAUAACGUAGGGAAACUUACGCUAAUACCGCAUACGACCUACGGGUGAAAGUGGGGGACCGCAAGGCCUCACGCGAUUAGAUGAGCCGAUGUCCGAUUAGCUAGUUGGCGGGGUAAUGGCCCACCAAGGCGACGAUCGGUAGCUGGUCUGAGAGGAUGAUCAGCCACACUGGAACUGGGACACGGUCCAGACUCCUACGGGAGGCAGCAGUGGGGAAUAUUGGACAAUGGGCGCAAGCCUGAUCCAGCCAUACCGCGUGGGUGAAGAAGGCCUUCGGGUUGUAAAGCCCUUUUGUUGGGAAAGAAAUCCUAUCGGUUAAUAACCGGUGGGGAUGACGGUACCCAAAGAAUAAGCACCGGCUAACUUCGUGCCAGCAGCCGCGGUAAAAC
rnacentral:rRNA from 1 species